CUUAGGGAGGAGCUUGCGUCACAUUAGUUAGUUGGUGGGGUAAAGGCCUACCAAGACUAUGAUGUGUAGCCGGGCUGAGAGGUUGAACGGCCACAUUGGGACUGAGACACGGCCCAAACUCCUACGGGAGGCAGCAGUAGGGAAUUUUCGGCAAUGGAGGAAACUCUGACCGAGCAACGCCGCGUGAACGAUGAAGUAUUUCGGUACGUAAAGUUCUUUUAUUAGGGAAGAAUAAAUGAUGGAAAAAUCAUUCUGACGGUACCUAAUGAAUAAGCCCCGGCUAACUAUGUGCCAGCAGCCGCGGUAAUACAUAGGGGGCAAGCGUUAUCCGGAAUUAUUGGGCGUAAAGGGUGCGUAGGCUGUUAAAUAAGUUUAUGGUCUAAGUGCAAUGCUCAACAUUGUGAUGCUAUAAAAACUGUUUAGCUAGAGUAAGAUAGAGGCAAGUGGAAUUCCAUGUGUAGUGGUAAAAUGCGUAAAUAUAUGGAGGAACACCAGUAGCGAAGGCGGCUUGCUGGGUCUUUACUGACGCUGAGGCACGAAAGCGUGGGGAGCAAACAGGAUUAGAUACCCUGGUAGUCCACGCCGUAAACGAUGAGUACUAAACGUUGGGUAAAACCAGUGUUGAAGUUAACACAUUAAGUACUCCGCCUGAGUAGUACGUACGCAAGUAUGAAACUUAAAGGAAUUGACGGGACUCCGCACAAGCGGUGGAUCAUGUUGUUUAAUUCGAAGGUACCCGAAAAACCUCACCAGGUCUUGACAUGCUUCUGCAAAGCUGUAGAAACACAGUGGAGGUUAUCAGUUGCACAGGUGGUGCAUGGUUGUCGUCAGCUCGUGUCGUGAGAUGUUGGGUUAAGUCCCGCAACGAGCGCAACCCUUAUUGUUAGUUGCCAGCACGUAAUGGUGGGGACUUUA
rnacentral:rRNA from 1 species